ACUCCUACGGGAGGCAGCAGUGGGGAAUCUUGGACAAUGGGCGCAAGCCUGAUCCAGCCAUGCCGCGUGAGUGAUGAAGGCCCUAGGGUCGUAAAGCUCUUUCGCCAGGGAUGAUAAUGACAGUACCUGGUAAAGAAACCCCGGCUAACUCCGUGCCAGCAGCCGCGGUAAUACGGAGGGGGUUAGGCGUUGUUCGGAAUUACUGGGGCGUAAAGCGCGCGUAGGCGGAUUAGUCAGUUAGAGGUGAAAUCCCAGGGCUCAACCCUGGAACUGCCUUUAAUACUGCUAGUCUUGAGUUUCGAGAGAGGUGAGUGGAAUUCCGAGUGUAGAGGUGAAAUUCGUAGAUAUUCGGAGGAACACCAGUGGCGAAGGCGGCUCACUGGCUCGAUACUGACGCUGAGGUGCGAAAGUGUGGGGGAGCAAACAGGAUUAGAUACCCUGGUAGCGACUGA
rnacentral:rRNA from 1 species